rnacentral:tRNA from 1 species
UUUAAUAUAAUAAAAUUAUAAUUUAGGAUUAUAUAAAGGUAAAUUUAACCUAUAAA